GGAAUCUUCCGCAAUGGGCGAAAGCCUGACGGAGCAACGCCGCGUGAGUGAUGAAGGUCUUCGGAUCGUAAAACUCUGUUAUUAGGGAAGAACAUAUGUGUAAGUAACUGUGCACAUCUUGCGGUACCUAAUCAGAAAGCCACGGCUAACUACGUGCCAGCAGCCGCGGUAAUACGUAGGUGGCAAGCGUUAUCCGGAAUUAUUGGGCGUAAAGCGCGCGUAGGCGGUUUUUUAAGUCUGAUGUGAAAGCCCACGGCUCAACCGUGGAGGGUCAUUGGAAACUGGAAAACUUGAGUGCAGAAGAGGAAAGUGGAAUUCCAUGUGUAGCGGUGAAAUGCGCAGAGAUAUGGAGGAACACCAGUGGCGAAGGCGACUUUCUGGUCUGUAACUGACGCUGAUGUGCGAAAGCGUGGGGAUCAAACAGGAUUAGAUACCCUGGUAGUCCACGCCGUAAACGAUGAGUGCUAAGUGUUAGGGGGUUUCCGCCCCUUAGUGCUGCAGCUAACGCAUUAAGCACUCCGCCUGGGGAGUACGACCG
rnacentral:rRNA from 1 species